rnacentral:rRNA from 17 species
GACGCUUACCACUUUGUGGUUCAUGACUGGGGUGAAGUCGUAACAAGGUAGCGCUAGGGGAACCUGGCGCUGGAUCACCUCCUUAAACGAUGAU